UGAGGAAUAUUGGUCAAUGGACGGAAGUCUGAACCAGCCAAGUAGCGUGCAGGAAGACGGCCCUAUGGGUUGUAAACUGCUUUUGUAUGGGGAUAAAGUCAAUCNACGUGUCCCUGUUUGCAGGUACCAUAUGAAUAAGGACCGGCUAAUUCCGUGCCAGCAGCCGCGGUAAUACGGAAGGUUCGGGCGUUAUCCGGAUUUAUUGGGUUUAAAGGGAGCGUAGGCCGGAGAUUAAGUGUGUUGUGAAAUGUAGACGCUCAACGUCUGACUUGCAGCGCAUACUGGUUUCCUUGAGUACGCACAACGUUGGCGGAAUUCGUCGUGUAGCGGUGAAAUGCUUAGAUAUGACGAAGAACUCCGAUUGCGAAGGCAGCUGACGGGAGCGCAACUGACGCUGAAGCUCGAAGGUGCGGGUAUCAAACAGGAUUAGAUACCCUGGUAGUCCGCACAGUAAACGAUGGAUGCCCGCUGUUGGUACCUGGUAUCAGCGGCUAAGCGAAAGCAUUAAGCAUCCCACCUGGGGAGUACGCCGGCAACGGU
rnacentral:rRNA from 1 species